rnacentral:ncRNA from 1 species
UUGAGCCGUAUGCGAAAAAACUCGCAUGUACGGUUCUUUAGGAGGAUUUAAAAUAUUAAAAAAUAAAAAAACAAAUCCUACCUGAC